GGGCCUGUAGUCUAGCUUGGAUAGAAUGACGGGCUUCGGACCCGUAGACCCCGGUUCAAAUCCGGGCAGGCUCG
rnacentral:tRNA from 1 species